ensembl:snoRNA SNORD37 small nucleolar RNA, C/D box 37
CCACGUGAUGACUGACAUUUCUUCACUUUGACCUGAUGUCUACUGAAGAAAUUGAGCGUCUGAGG